rnacentral:SRP_RNA from 2 species
UGUGCUAGGCGGGGAGCUAGCGGUGCCCUGUUACCUACAAUCCGCUACAGUAGGGCUGAAUGUUGCAGGCGGCUUUCUGCGUGGGAAGCAGGCCUUUGCAAGGAGCGUUGAUACCAAGGUCUUGUGCAACGUGAUACUGUCAACCGUGUCAGGGUGGGAACACAGCAGCACUACGCAGAUUGAGCGUGUGCCACAAGGUUGCUUUGGAGUAGCCACCUACAAAGAUAC